GCUUGGUAAGGGGAUCGGGCAGGUUCAUCAUAGUCUAGGAUUUGAUCUUAUUGUUUAUGCUCCAUAUCAUGCACUUGAUGGUUUUAUCAGUGAUUUAGAGGUCUUUUUCGGUUGAUCUGUUUCAUUUUCCCAAAUAAUUGGAGUUCUGCGGAGCUAAAGAUGAUGACCAGAUUGUGGCACUGAAGGCUUCACUUGAAACUGCUAGGAUGGAAGCAGAUAAGAUUAUGCGUACCAAUGGACCACUUCUAUUCCCGCCCGGGCAGGUACCUUAGAAGUGUCCUAUCACGUCAUCAUCCAGCUCAUACCAUUUCAGAACUUACUGCUUCUAUAAAUGCCAUUGAUUCUUUGGCAAGUACUUAAUCCUGUUAUUACUGCAUGUCUGGAACUGUUUAUCUUUUUUCCUCUUCUUUCGGGAAAUAUUACUAUCCUUUUCCCGAGAUCUUCUUCCGGGCUUAUGUAGUACUGCCUGAACUCCUGGCAUUUGAACAGAUUGGUAAACUUGUGACUCCUACUUCCAAAGAUGUGAAGCACUUUGAUCGGAAACUCAAAUCAUGUCUUGAACCUGGUUCACAUGACAAGAGUAAGAACAGGAAGCAUAGAUUCAAGGAUAGUUCCAAUGUGGUUAUGGACAUGUCUUGAGCUGCUCUAACUCAAGUUCGUUGCUUCAAGCAUAUGCUAUUUGGCUGGUGGAAAUAAUUAUUGUCAUUGCUGCUCAUCAGUUUCCUAAUAUAGAGUAGAAAUCAAGUAGAGUGCAAGUCUACUGCAUUUUGCAUCAGGUCGAGAGAAGAAGCAUCCUUACAGAUGGGAAUUUUGAACUGCCAUGCCCGAAGUUAGACUAACCAUUGCAAAUGGGGUAAAGGUUGAUUUUGACUGGACCUAAAUGAUCCUUAAGAUGUGUAUGCGCGAACAGACAGGUGGUUGACUUAGUGGUUGCCCUCAUUGGAGAUGGUUCAACCGUUUCACAUUUUGCUCGAAUGGUUUCAUAAGUUGUCAUUGUAUAGUCUGCUGAAAUGUCCCAACUAGUAAGAUAAACCUGAAAUUGACAUCUGAUUGGCCUUCCAUUUACUUGACUGGA